rnacentral:rRNA from 1 species
AACGCUGGCGGAGGCUAACACAUGCAAGUCGAACGCCCGUAGCAAUACGGGAGUGGCAGACGGGAGAGUAACACGUGGGAACGUGCCCUUCAGUUCGGAACAACCCAGGGAAACUUGGGCUAAUACCGGAUACGUCCGCAAGGAGAAAGAUUUAUCGCUGAAGGAUCGGCCCGCGUCUGAUUAGCUAGUUGGUGAGGUAAUGGCUCACCAAGGCGACGAUCAGUAGCUGGUCUGAGAGGAUGAUCAGCCUCACUGGGACUGAGACACGGCCCAGACUCCUACGGGAGGCAGCAGUGGGGAAUCUUGGACAAUGGGCGCAAGCCUGAUCCAGCCAUGCCGCGUGGGUGAUGAAGGCCCUAGGGUUGUAAAGCCCUUUCGGCGGGGAAGAUAAUGACGGUACCCGCAGAAGAAGCCCCGGCUAACUUCGUGCCAGCAGCCGCGGUAAUACGAAGGGGGCUAGCGUUGCUCGGAAUCACUGGGCGUAAAGCGCACGUAGGCGGAUUGCUAAGUCAGGGGUGAAAUCCUGGAGCUCAACUCCAGAACUGCCUUUGAUACUGGCG